rnacentral:lncRNA from 1 species
ACCGCGCCCGUGCGUCUGCGCGCCUGGCCGCCAGGUGACCCAGCAGCCCGGCCGCCGAGAUGCCCAACCCGCCCAGGCUCCGGGCGCUGUGACUUCGCGCCGCUGUGUGCGCCUCCCCGAGCGCCGGCUGCGCCCCCCAGCCCGGCCCGGGGCCUACCGCCUGCCCGGCCCCCUGCCACUGCCAGGAGGACGGCAUCAUGCUGUCUGCCGACUGCUCUUGAGCUUGGGCUGUCCGCCAUACCGGGGGACCUGGAUCCCCUGACGGCUUACCUGUGAGUACUGCCCGCCUGUCUCCACCUGGUACUGCGGGCUGCUGGCUUGCACCCAGUCCUGGCCUCAGCAGGACACCUGCUUGCUUGGUGCCCUGGGGCGUGGGCAUCCCGGAGAGGGUUCACCCCCUUCCAAGUUGACCGUUGCGGGACUGGGGAGGGGAGAAGAGUCUGAGACUAAAUAUCAGGCGAGCAGGGAGACCAGGCUUCCCUGACUUGGCUUCCCCAUUGGCCUCCGUGCUUGUGGGCUGACUGCGGGAGCCCAGGUUUGGCAAGGUGGGUUCUGGACCCUAAGCGGGAGGGCGCGGGGCUGGCUCCCCCAUCUCCUGUUGCUGCAUUCUCUUCCAGCAGAGCAGUGCCCAGGAUGGUGGCUGAGGGUAAAGCUGACAGAACUGGAGGUGGAGGUGAGGGGAGCGUGCCCCAGUGGGGUGGAAAUAAUGUCUGUUCUUCUGCCAUGGUGAGGACAACAGGGCUGUCACACUGAGGCUGGGUGGCCUUCUUUGGGGGGGGGGUCCCAGAAGCUGGGAGGGGGGCCUUAUCCACUCUUGUCUCCUCAGAAAGGGACUCUGCCAGCACCAUCUCCCUUUACUGGGGCCUCCCGGCUCCCCCAGGGGCCUCCCUAAAGUCAUGUCCCAAGAGGCUGUGUUGGAGACACUAAUUUGUGGGCAGGCGCGGAGGCUGAAAAGCGGAGAACCAUUUUUAGCGUCUGAGUUGGGGUGAGAUGGCCCGUGAAGGGGACCCUAUUGGGGGCAGCUGUCCUGUCCGUCUGGCUCACAGGAGCUUCCCCUCAGAGCUGGAGGGCUGGGGGCUCUCGCUGCUUACCACAUGGGCAGGAGGAGGGUGAGAGAGCACAUUCCAGGCCACCUACCCGCACCCCCAGCCCCGCUCUGGGGAAAGGAGACCUCCUCCAGCCCAGCUCUGCAGGCUCCAUCAACUUCCUCAGAGGAGCUGGGAGCAGGUGGGAAAGCCUGGGGCCUUCUGCUGAGGGCUAGGAUCCCAGAGCUCCUUCUGGCCUGAGAGAGACCCCUCAUGGCUUCUAGCAUGUGGGAGUUCUAGCACGUGGGAGCUUAGAGGAAGAGGACGCUGGGCGAAUCUUUAUAGGGGCCUAGCAAGAAUUUGUGGAACUAAAAGGAUGCUCAGUGUUGGCAGUGUCCUGGUGGGAGGCAGAGGGUCCCAGAUGGCAACUCUUCAUGGGGCUCCUCUCCAAAUGUCCCUGUCCCUAGGUUGGGAUGUCCUCCUCCACUCCAAAAGGCACAGGCUGUGGGCCAGGUAAGGGAGUGAGAAGAGAAAAAUAAUGCCCAUCUUCUAGAAGGACAAAUGGAAUCCUUCACAGUGCAGCAGGUGACGGCGGAGGCAGUCAUGGGAAUAAAGCUACCAACUGCACAGAGGCUGGGUGCUCAGCAUCUGGCAAAGCAGGGCAGGCUCCGGCCCCAGCCCACACCCAGGCCAGCCCUGCUUUCAGCAGUUUUCUAUCCUGGGAGUAUGUGACAUUGGUUCAUUGGAAGACAGGGUCCUGUGGCUAAAGAGUUUAGAUAUGACUUCUGUGGAGCCUUUCUCUGGGUGAGCUGAAGGAAGGUCCCUUGCCUGGGUUGAAGGGGCAGGGGAGAUAAGGCCUUCCAGAGCUUCCUUUCCCAGUGUUAAGUCUUCCUAGACUGAUUAAUGAUCCUUUUUCUAGAAGGACCUGGGGUAGGAGGUACACUGUCACCUUUGGAAUUCAAGCAUCCUACCAUCCAUGCUGGCAGAAGAUUUUCCCACUAACUUGUCACAAUUCCCUGGGAGCUGUGAAGUCUGCAUUUGGGUUCAGUGGAGGUGGGGUUUUCUGAGCUGGUCUGUGUCUUCCUGGGGAUUGAGAAAGCCCCCCUCUCUCUCAAGACUCAGGGGAUGCUUCUGAGAAUGGCGGAGAGAAGAGAGGGAGUGGGAGCUAGAAAGAGUACGAUGGGUCCUGAGGCAAUGUGGGGAAUUUAGCAGUGGGGUCUGGAAUAUUGGAAGGAGGUAGCAGAGGACCGUGUUCCCUGCCCUGGGCUGGGGAGGGGUCCCAUCAGGAUGGUGCAUGAGGGAUAUCUACAGUUGUCCUGAGGGUGUCUCAGAGGAGGAAUUUUCUUUCUUUGCCCUCUCUGGAGAACAGCUCUACCACAAAGGCACCUGAAGGUGGGGUUGAGGGCUGGCAUGGAGAAGAGCCAGGGUGGGGAAGUCUUGGGGCUCCUUUCUCUUUUCAGCGAUGUUAGGAGGUGCCCACCUUGGCCCUGCCCCAUGUAUCCCAGCCCUUGCUGAGGACAGCACAGAUUCGCAUCUGAUGAUAUAACCAGCAGUGCCUCUCUCUGGGCCACUCAAACCUUGGUUCCUUCCUAGCUCUGCCACCUACUGAGAGUCACUCACUGAACACCUCUAAGCCUCAGGUUCUUGAUGUGUACAUGGAGAGGAGGAAGCAUGUUGCUGAGAGGAUUAAAUGAGAUAAUAUGUUCAGUGAAAGUCCCCACAGUGCCUGACACCCGAGGGUGACUCUGAAAUGGUGGCUAGUAUUAUCAUGCCUCCUGUGGGUGCUCCGUGGAGGUGGAGGUAAACUACCAGGCCUCUCCACACCAGAGGGAAAUUGAGCCUAGUGGGUGAGUGUAGAAUUCAAGGGAAUUGUUUGUGGCUGGAGGAAGAGAGCUGUGUGCUUGGGGAGGUGACUGUCAGGGCAACUCUUGAUCAAUACUUGGCUGGUUCUGGGGACUUGGAGCCCAACCAGUUGGUGCAAAUUGGGGGUUGGGGAUCGGGAGGGAAGGUGGGGACUUAGAUCCUCCUGACACAGAGUUGAGAAUGAAAAAUGUUAAAACACUUGGAUAUGCAGGAAGUAGCAGGCCAGAGAGGACUCGAAGAUCCUUAGAAGGAGCCAUAGACGGAACCAUAGGAGGCGCCCAGGAGCUAUGGGCUCCAGAAGGUACCCGCAAGUCCUCUUGCACAUUCCUUGACCUGGUCUCAAUAAAAAUGACAUCACAUCUCUUCCCCCACUCCACGGCUGUGAGAUUUUCUCUUUCUAGCCAAUACCUUUCAUGAAGUAGGUGCUUCCACCUCUCCAUCUUUGUUCUAGGGAAGACCAGAAAGGCAUCUUUAUAGUCAACUGGUAUUCUUUGCCUUGAUACUCAUGUCCAAAAACUAUUACCACUUUUGGGCUCAAUGCCAGGCCUGUUUGAUCAAGGUUGGGAAGACACACUUCAGAUACUCACAAUCCUUCAUAUGUCUCUCUUUUUUCAACAGUUUCCUCCUAAACUGUGGUCUCAGCGAGGCUCAUUGACACUCACCGGGGUUUCGACAUUCUCCCUGGCUAGGGCCUGUUCUGGAAAUAGACCAAGGGGGAGAUGGAGCCCCUGGCCGUGGGACAUCCAAUCUGAUGGUGAUGAGAAGGCUGCUCAGGACCGAGGCUGAGACGGGCGACCAGGACGGGAUUGUAUGGCUGCAGGAGGCUACACAGUCCCAGGAGGCUGCUUCUAAGAGGCCCACGUGGCCUGCAUGGGGAUGCGCCUGGCUGUCCAGCAUGUGGUCAUUUGAAUUGUACAUGUUUCACUGGGAUGCCUACAGAAAAGUAGACAGAAGAUGUGGAAAAAGUUUUUGAAAUGUUGCAAACUUAGCUACUUUUAAAAUAAAAAAAAUAGCUUUAUAAUUAUAAAAGCAAUAUGUAAAUCUUAAAAUAAUUUGCUACAUUCUAGUAAGCAUCUUAUGAUCUCUAUGUGCCCUAUAACAUUAUGUUGUAUAGUUUAAAUAUAUACAAUAAAAUCUAUUUUAAAAAAUAGCAGGCAAUUAAAUCUCAUUUUAAAAAGAGUCAGUUUAACUCCCUUCUAAUUUCUACCCCUCGUUUUCCCUCUGUG